rnacentral:misc_RNA from 1 species
GGAAGGUUCAACAUAAGCAGAGGAACAAGCGCUAGACUUGUGGUGGUUAACUGUUGAUUUUUUCCGAACGAAUGCCUUAAGCAUACGGCAUUCUGCUUCAAGGUUAGCAACCUUCUUGAUACUCUCGAGCUGUUGUUUGCUGGCCGUUUCAGCAGCAUGUGUGCUUAAGUCUCUCUCAGAUGUCAUUAAUUUGAGCUCCUCAGAUAUCGAAGCAAGCUCAAUCUUGAGUUUUGAGUUCUGUUUCUCCACAUAUUCAAGCUUACACUGAAGAUCUUUGACGUUGCUGUCUUUGGAUUUAGAAUUUUGCAGUUCAGCCUGGAGCUGAACAAGCUUAUUUUCAAGUUCAGACUUUCUAGACUCCCAUUCAGAACUUGUCUUGGCAACAGUGACCUGGACAUUCUGCUCUUGCUCUUCUCUCGACUGUCGGAGCUGUCUCAGACACUCUUUAAGUGCUCCAUCUAGAUGACUGAUACGCUCUUCAAGGAUUGAGUUCUUUUGGUUUGCUGUCUCAACUAGUCUUUUCUGGAUCAAUACUUCUGCUUCAGCCGUCUCCCAUCCUGAGACAGCUUCCUCUGCUACUUUUGCAUGUUGCUUUACCAAGUCUUCCUUCUCGCGGAUAGUCUCAAGAGCUUCUGAUAAUUUAGCUGAUAGAGUCUUAACAGUUUCAUUAAGUUCUUCAAUGGUGGGAGCUGUUUUAGAUGUGACUUCAGGUGACUGAAUGUUGUGAUUCAGAGGUUCCUGAUCAUCUGAGAAAUGGGAUGAAAUGGAUCCGCCAGAGCUUUCAGUUUCACCACUCGGACUCGAUUUCCUCCGCCACAACCAACUCCGCCGGUCCAUCCAAACUCUACCUCCUCAUUUUUUGUUUGUUUGUUUUGCUCAACAAAGAAAUAAAUAAGCAAAAUAGCAAAGGUUUGCCCUAUACCUAAACAAUUGAAAAACGGGGGCUGCCUUUGAUUACAAUUCACAUCUCACAGUCACUACCUAACACUAUUUCAAAUUGGAGGUAUUUCAAUUUCAAAUUAUAAACUAAGAUCCAUUCCCCAUAAACAAUCAUUACACUCAAACCCAAUUUGAGGAUAAACCCACACAAAAACUGAAAAAUAUUAUGACCCACCAGAAAGAGGAUACCCCU